rnacentral:ncRNA from 2 species
CGAUUGACAUCGGGAGAGAUUGCUCCAGAAGCAACGCCGAAGGAGCAACCGCCCCGGAAACUCUCAGGCAAAAGGACCGAUGUCAUCUU